rnacentral:rRNA from 1 species
UACGGGGGGUGCGAGCGUUGUCCGGAAUCACUGGGCGUAAAGGGCGCGUAGGUGGUUUGAUAAGGGUGUGGUGAAAGUCCGGGGCUCAACCCAGAGCCUGCAUCCAAAACUGGCGGGCUAGAGUUCUGGAGGGGGUAGCGGAAUUCCUGGUGUAGCGGUGAAAUGCGUAGAUAUCAGGAGGAACACCGGUGGCGAAGGCGGCUACCUGGACAGAAACUGACGCUGAGGCGCGAAAGCUAGGGGAGCAAACAGG